UUGUACCGAAAAUAUGGAAAUUCGAAGAGAGAUAGAGAGAGAGUGA
rnacentral:sRNA from 1 species